rnacentral:lncRNA from 1 species
CCUCCUCUCACCCACCAAAUUUCUAACACAUCUGCCUCUCAGAUCAUCUGCUCUCAGUCCAUCACCACUCUUCAGAUAAUCAAUUCUCAGUUCAUCAAGGAGAGAGGAUUCCCUCUUGCAUCAUAGGCUUCCCCAGGAAACACUGUUGAAACCUCUUGUGUUUCCAUGUCACACGUGGCAUCUCCUGGAGAUCAUUUUGCCAUCGUGACAUCUUCCUUCCAUGUCCAGUGCUCUCACCACUGCACAUGGACCAGAGCUGCUUCUAGGGUUUUCUUUUUUAAAGGGUGCUUUGCCCAGUUCCAAAAAGAGCACAGUUUCUCACUUUUGGGAUACCUGUCCCCCCCAGAUUUCACCCCCUGAGGCCGAGGGGUCUCAAGAACAGAGAUCUUCCUCUUCUUCUUCUUCUUCCCUGGAGACGGAGGGCACCACCACCACCCUCCUCACCCAUCAUCUCUGUUCACGCACUCCUUCACAACACAUCACUGCACUCUCUUGGCUCCAAGCCAUUGCCUCCCCCUAAAUGCAGUCUCUGUGUCACAGGAAAAAUGCUUCUGUCCAUGGCCAUACAAGAAAAGUCCAGCCAAAGGCCGCUCCAUCAUCUCUUCCCAACUAGAUUCUUCUCAACUUCUCUCAUGGCCCAUUUCUUCUUAUCUCAUCUCCAUCUCUCUUCUCAUUCAACUCCAGGAGGAAUCAGCAUUUGUAAGGUUUCUAUUAUCUAAGAAAAGGGUUAACAAAUCUCAGGCUCUGCCUGUCUUUGAACUCCCAUGGCUGCCCUGCUGGGCACCUUCUCGCUGCACCCCCCUACCUCUCCUUCAGGCUGGCCAUGCUAUCAAAUUUCAAGGUGGCACAGGCACAGACACCAGUGCUGUCUCUCUCUCUCUCUCCAGGGGGGUGGGCUGCCUGAAGCCUCUCAGUGCUCUUCCAGUCUUCUAUUUUGCAGGGACCUUCGCCUCCCUUCUCUGCCCAAGGCCCGGCCUGGCGGCCUACCUCCUCUGGCCGCAUGGCUUCCCCUCACCUGCCCAGCUCGGAGCCGGGCAGGGCAGGUGUGUUCUCUUCCACAAACCAGCCAGGGCAGGUCUGUUCUCUUUCACAAACCGGGCAGGGCAGGUCUGUUCUCUUUCACAAACCCG